AGAGAGGGAGGGACAGAGAGAAACAUUGAUUGGUUGCCUCUUUUAUGCACUCCAAGCCAGGGAUUGAACCUGCAACCUAGGUAUGUGCCCUGACCAGGGAAUUGAGUCUGCAACCUUUUGG